CCAACGCAAAACGAGUUCAAAAGGACUGACAUAAGUACAAACUUUUUGGGCGCGAGCCCGGUACAGCUAAUUCGCAGAGGGGUCGGCAGGAGCGGCGGCUUCAGGGUCGGCAGAAGGGGCGGCUUCAGGGUCGGCAGGAGCAGCGGCUUCAGGGUCAGCAGAAGGGGCGGCUUCAAGGUAGGCAGGAGGGGCGGCUUCAUCCUCCAGGAGCUUCGCGAGGGCCUCCGCCAGCGCGGUCACCCCGGCAUCGAUCUCAUCCAGCUCGGCUUCGGUGUAGCCGGCGCAGUACCCCUCACUCAUCCCGGCAAAGUUAAUGCCGGAAUAGUGGGAGCCGAAGACCCCGAAGGCUCGCCGCACGCCAAGGCGAAGUGCGUCCACGGCGAUCUCGCGACGGCGACGGCGCACCUCGAGGACACGAGCCGGCAGAGAGCUCGAUCCCUCCUCCGGAGCUACACCGAAGUCCUCGCAGACGACGCGGACCGCAUCUCGCAGGGCGCCGUGCUCGCCGCGCUCCUCGUCGAGCAGAGCCCGCAGAUUGGCGAUCUCACCUGCAGAAGCCACCCAAAAAAUCCCACUGAGUCAAAAGAGCAGAACACAAACGACACAAGAACGCAGGAACGGAAAGAACCUCACCGUCGCCUAGGC
rnacentral:lncRNA from 1 species